UCUGAGUCUGAAGAGAAUCUGCUGCAGGUGGAGGAUCAUGCAGCUUUCAGCAAUGUACCACAGCCUGCCACUCAAAACAAAAGUAGAGUGGAUUCACAUAACAGAAAUGAGGAAAGAUUCUCUAAACUGAGCAAUGGAAAAGGAAUUCCAGAAACUCAGGAAAGAGAUCCAGAAUCCCAACAGAAUUCUUGCAGAGUUGAAGAAUUAAAGAAGAUAUUUGAGCCUCCAGCCUUAACCCAUGGGCCAGAGAAACCCCCACAGAAGGAAGGCAGAGUGGAGUCACCAAAGAGAGUCCAAACCAACUGCUCCAAGCAGAGCAAGGGAAAUGAAGAUCCAGUAAUUCUGGAAAGAGGUAACUGGGGCUGGGAGAAGAACUGUGC